AUCUAUCAUCUAUCCAUCCAGCUAGCUACAUUUCUAUGUAUUUAGGUAUUAUUGUUGCAAAUGCUUUUACUACUCCUGCUGGAUCUUCUUCAGCUAGCCAGUGUCCCCCGUCUGUUCCAGAGUUUGUCUCUAGCCUUCAGAAACCCCCCUUAUCCAGAGCCAACUAAAAGGUUACAAGGAUACCCACCACUGGACUCUUGAGUGUGGCAAUAUAAAAUCCAGUUCCUUUACCUAACUGCAGGUGAACUUUAUCCCUGGGAAUCCAUGGGAACAAGCUGAAGCUCGAGCAAUUUCUUGCCCAACACUUUCCCCAUUAUAGUUGGCUUCCUCAUGGUUUCUCCAGAGAGUACACCAUCAAUAAAUCAUGUACUCAAAUAUCCAUCUCUGACCUGCUUAUCUGCAAGGGCCCACCUUUCUCAUCUGGAGAAUAUUCUUGUUGAAAUCAGAUAAACUUUAAGAGAGAGGAAAGGAAUGAUUAUAGGAAGAUAGGGAUGAAUCUGGGAGAAGUCCCCGCUAUGGCUAGGUGGUUGAUGGGUGGUGACAGGACAAUGUGAUAGCACUAGAGAAGGUUCCAAAUGUAAUGUCCAAAGAGAAGAUAUGGGAUUGUUGAUGAACAGAAUGGAAGUGUAAGAAUACGAAGGAAGAAAAGAAAAUUGUUAUUUUUGGUGAAAGAAUGAAUAAAUCAAUGUCUUUCUCAAUCA